rfam:Fukomys damarensis contig92933, whole genome shotgun sequence.
GUCAAGGGACGUACCACCCUGAACACGCCCGAUCUUGUCUAAUCUCGGAAGCUAAGCAGGGUCUGGCCUGGUUAGUACUUGGAUGGGAGAGACUCCAUCUCAAAAAAAAACAAAAAAUUCCAGGAGUGAAGACA